GACGAACGCUGGCGGCGUGCUUAACACAUGCAAGUCGAACGGUAAGGCCCUUCGGGGUACACGAGUGGCGAACGGGUGAGUAACACGUGGGUGAUCUGCCCUGCACUUCGGGAUAAGCCUGGGAAACUGGGUCUAAUACCGGAUAGGACUCCUGGCUUCAUGGUUGGGGGUGGAAAGCUUUUGCGGUGUGGGAUGGGCCCGCGGCCUAUCAGCUUGUUGGUGGGGUAAUGGCCUACCAAGGCGACGACGGGUAGCCGGCCUGAGAGGGUGACCGGUAACACUGGGACUGAGAUGCGGCCCAGACUCCUACGGGAGGCAGCAGUGGGGAAUAUUGCACAAUGGGCGCAAGCCUGAUGCAGCGACGCCGCGUAAGGGAUGACGGCCUUCGGGUUGUAAACCUCUUUCAGCUAUGACGAAGCGCAAGUGACGGUAGUAGCAGAAGAAGGACCGGCCAACUACGUGCCAGCCGCCGCGGUAA
rnacentral:rRNA from 1 species